UAUGACCUACGGGGCGCAGCAGUGAGGAAUAUUGGUCAAUGGGCUUACGCCUGAACCAGCCAAGUAGCGUGAAGGAUGACUGCCCUACGGGUUGUAAACUCCUUUUAUAAAGGAAUAAAGUGAGGCACGUGUGCCUUUUUGUAUGUACUUUAUGAAUAAGGAUCGGCUAACUCCGUGCCAGCAGCCGCGGUAAUACGGAGGAUCCGAGCGUUAUCCGGAUUUAUUGGGUUUAAAGGGAGCGUAGAUGGGUUGUUAAGUCAGUUGUGAAAGUUUGCGGCUCAACCGUAAAGUUGCAAUUGAUACUG
rnacentral:rRNA from 1 species